UGCCAGCAGCCGCGGUAAUACGUAGGUGGCAAGCGUUGUCCGGAUUUAUUGGGCGUAAAGCGAGCGCAGGCGGUCUUUUAAGUCUGAUGUGAAAGCCCACGGCUUAACCGUGGAGGGUCAUUGGAAACUGGGAGACUUGAGUGCAGAAGAGGAAAGUGGAACUCCAUGUGUAGCGGUGGAAUGCGUAGAUAUAUGGAAGAACACCAGUGGCGAAGGCGGCGGCCUGGACCAAUACUGACGCUGAGGUGCGAAAGCGUGGGGAGCAAACAGGAUUAGAUA
rnacentral:rRNA from 1 species